UCCUUCCCCCUAAGAAUGGGUUGGAGAAUAUGACGGGCCGAUGCCGAGCAUUCGCGGGAUGCCCUUCGCCGGGUGUCCCGACGACUGGCCGGCGAGUUUACUUUGACAAAAUUAGAGUGCUCAGAGCAGGCUACAACACAAGUGCCUGAAUGCUUAUGCAUGGAAUAAUGGAAUAGGACCUUGGUUCUAUGUUUGUUGGUUUGUCACAGCCAAGGUAAUGACUAAGGGAGACAGUCGGGGGCAUCUGUACUGCAGCGCUAGAGGUGAAAUUCUUGGACCGUUGCAAGACAAACAACAGCGAAAGCAUUUGCCAAGUAUGUUUUCAUUAAUCAAGAACGAAAGUUAGAGGUUCGAAGGCGAUCAGAUACCGCCCUAGUUCUAACCAUAAACGAUGCCAACCAGCAAUCUAUCAAGUGUUAUAUCCAUGACCUGAUAGGCAGCUUCUGGGAAACCAAAGUCUUUGGGUUCCGGGGGAAGUAUGGUUGCAAAGCUGAAACUUAAAGGAAUUGACGGAAGGGCACCACCAGGAGUGGAGCCUGCGGCUUAAUUUGACUCAACACGGGGAACCUCACCAGGCCCAGACACCGGAAGGAUUGACAGAAUGAGAGCUCUUUCUCGAUUCGGUGGGUGGUGGUGCAUGGCCGUUCUUAGUUGGUGGAGUGAUUUGUCUGGUUAAUUCCGAUAACGAACGAGACUCUGGCCUACUAAAUAGUCGGGGGGAAGGACGUCGAGCACGCCUCUGUUUUAAUUCGCCCUGCUACURCUCUCUGUCUGUCUAGCUGGUGCUUGCUUGCUUGCUGCCUGCCACCAGUCAUCACUGCUGC
rnacentral:rRNA from 1 species